UUCCGGUUGAUCCCGCCGGACCCUACUGCUAUGGGGGUAGGACUAAGACAUGCAAGUCGUGCGUCUCCAGGCUAUGGUGGAGGCGCGGCGUACGGCUCAGUAACACGUGGCUAACCUACCCUUAGGACGGGGACAACCCCGGGAAACUGGGGCUAAUACCCGAUAGGUGAGGAGGCCUGGAAUGGUUCCUAACUCAAAGGGCGUUGAGACCACGCUUUUCAGCGUCGCCUAGGGAUGGGGCCGCGCCCGAUCAGGUUGUUGGUGGGGUAACGGCUCACCAAGCCUAUAACCGGUACGGGCCGUGAGAGCGGGAGCCCGGAGAUGGGCACUGAGACAAGGGCCCAGGCCCUACGGGGCGCAGCAGUCGCGAAAACUCCGCAAUGCGCGAAAGCGUGACGGGGCUACCCCGAGUGCCGUCCGCUGAGGAUGGCUUUUCCCCGGUGUAAUGAGCCGGGGGAAUAAGGAGAGGGCAAGUCUGGUGUCAGCCGCCGCGGUAAUACCAGCUCUCCGAGUAGUAGGGACGAUUAUUGGGCUUAAAGCGUUCGUAGCCGGCUUAGCAAGUCUCCUGUUAAAUUCAGCGACCUAAUCGUUGAGCCGCGGGAGAUACUACUAGGCUUGGAGGCGGGAGAGGCCGACGGUAUUCUCGGGGUAGGGGUGAAAUCCUAUAAUCCCGGGAGGACCACCGGUGGCGAAGGCUGUCGGCUAGAACGCGCUCGACGGUGAGGGACGAAAGCUGGGGGAGCGAACCGGAUUAGAUACCCGGGUAGUCCCAGCUGUAAACGAUGCGGGCUAGGUGUUGAGGUGGCUACGGGCCACUUCAGUGCCGCAGGGAAGCCAUUAAGCCCGCCGCCUGGGGAGUACGGCCGCAAGGCUGAAACUUAAAGGAAUUGGCGGGGGAGCACCACAAGGCGUGAAGCUUGCGGUUCAAUUGGAUUCAACGCCGGG
rnacentral:rRNA from 1 species